rnacentral:rRNA from 1 species
UACGAAGGGGGCUAGCGUUGCUCGGAAUCACUGGGCGUAAAGGGCGCGUAGGCGGCUCGGCAAGUCGGGGGUGAAAUCUUUCAGCUCAACUGGAAAAGGGCCCCCGAUACUGCCGGGCUGGAGGGAGGUAGGGGCACGCGGAACUUCCGGUGGAGCGGUGAAAUGCGUAGAUAUCGGAAGGAACGCCGGUGGCGAAAGCGGCGUGCUGGAGUCUCCACUGACGCUGAGGCGCGAAAGCCAGGGGAGCAAACGGG